UACGAAGGGGGCUAGCGUUGCUUGGAAUCACUGGGCGUAAAGGGUGCGUAGGCGGGUCUUUAAGUCAGGGGUGAAAUCCUGGAGCUCAACUCCAGAACUGCCUUUGAUACUGAGGAUCUUGAGUACGGGAGAGGUGAGUGGAACUGCGAGUGUAGAGGUGAAAUUCGUAGAUAUUCGCAAGAACACCAGUGGCGAAGGCGGCUCACUGGCCCGUAACUGACGCUGAGGCACGAAAGCGUGGGGAGCAAACAGG
rnacentral:rRNA from 1 species